AAAAAAAAAAAACAUAGUUUUUGUGCCAAUGUUUGACUGUCCAUCUUAUAUAAAAUUUUUUAAUAAUUAGUAUUUUUAUUGUUGUUAGAUGAUAAAAUAUGAUUAAUACUUUAUACGUAACUUAUCUUUUUAAAUUUUUUUAUAAUUUUGUCAAAUAAAACGGACAGUCAAACGUUAGACACGGAAACC
rfam:Oryza sativa (indica cultivar-group) chromosome 1, whole genome shotgun sequence.